rnacentral:rRNA from 1 species
CCUACGGGAGGCAGCAGUGAGGAAUAUUGGUCAAUGGGCGCGAGCCUGAACCAGCCAAGUCGCGUGAGGGAGGACGGCCCUACGGGUUGUAAACCUCUUUUGCCGGGGAGCAACGGGCGCCACGUGUGGCGUCACUGCGAGUACCCGGAGAAAAAGCAUCGGCUAACUCCGUGCCAGCAGCCGCGGUAUACGGAGUAUGCCAGCGUUAUCCGGAUUUAUUGGGUUUCAAGGGUGCGUAGGCGGAUCGUUAAGUCAGUGGUCAAAUUGAGGGGCUCAACCCCUUCCCGCCAUUGAAACUGGCGUUCUUGAGUGGAAGAGAAGUAUGCGGAAUGCGUGGUGUAGCGGUGAAAUGCAUAGAUAUCACGCAGAACCCCGAUUGCGAAGGCAGCAUGCCGGCUUCCGACUGACGCUGAAGCACGAAAGCGUGGGGAUCGAACAGGAUUAGAUACCCGUGGAGUC